UACGUAGGGACCAAGCGUUGUUCGGAUUUACUGGGCGUAAAGGGCGCGUAGGCGGCAUGACAGUCACUUGUGAAAUCUCCGGGCUUAACUCGGAACGGCCAAGUGAUACUGUCGGCGCUAGAGUGCAGAAGGGGCAAUCGGAAUUCUUGGUGUAGCGGUGAAAUGCGUAGAUAUCAAGAGGGAACACCCUGGAGGUGAAGACGGGUGCUGGGCUGACACGUGACGCUGGAGGCGCGAAAGCUAGGGUAGCAAACGGG
rnacentral:rRNA from 1 species